CCCCCGCGUGAAAGGAAAAAAAGGCCUUUUGGGGUUGGUAAAAAUUUUGUUUGUUGGAGAAAAAAUUGUUCGGCAAGAGUUAACUGUUGUUGGGCGUGACGGGUUUCCAACCAAAAAAGCCCCGGGCUAAAUUACGUGCCAGCAGCCGGCGGUAAUACGUAGGUGGGCAAGCGUUAUCCGGAUUUAUUGGGCGUAAAGCGAGCGCAGGCGGUUUUUUAAGUCUGAUGUGAAAGCCCUCGGCUUAACCGAGGAAGCGCAUCGGAAACUGGGAAACUUGAGUGCAGAAGAGGACAGUGGAACUCCAUGUGUAGCGGUGAAAUGCGUAGAUAUAUGGAAGAACACCAGUGGCGAAGGCGGCUGUCUGGUCUGUAACUGACGCUGAGGCUCGAAAGCAUGGGUAGCGAACAGGAUUAGAUACCCUGGUAGUCCAUGCCGUAAACGAUGAAUGCUAGGUGUUGGAGGGUUUCCGCCCUUCAGUGCCGCAGCUAACGCAUUAAGCAUUCCGCCUGGGGAGUACGACCGCAAGGUUGAAACUCAAAGGAAUUGACGGGGGCCCGCACAAGCGGUGGAGCAUGUGGUUUAAUUCGAAGCAACGCGAAGAACCUUACCAGGUCUUGACAUCUUUUGAUCACCUGAGAGAUCAGGUUUCCCCUUCGGGGGCAAAAUGACAGGUGGUGCAUGGUUGUCGUCAGCUCGUGUCGUGAGAUGUUGGGUUAAGUCCCGCAACGAGCGCAACCCUUAUGACUAGUUGCCAGCAUUUAGUUGGGCACUCUAGUAAGACUGCCGGUGACAAACCGGAGGAAGGUGGGGAUGACGUCAAAUCAUCAUGCCCCUUAUGACCUGGGCUACACACGUGCUACAAUGGAUGGUACAACGAGUUGCGAGACCGCGAGGUCAAGCUAAUCUCUUAAAGCCAUUCUCAGUUCGGACUGUAGGCUGCAACUCGCCUACACGAAGUCGGAAUCGCUAGUAAUCGCGGAUCAGCACGCCGCGGUGAAUACGUUCCCGGGCCUUGUACACACCGCCCGUCACACCAUGAGAGUUUGUAACACCCGAAGCCGGUGGCGUAACCCUUUAGGGAGCGAGCCGUCUAAGUGGACAAGAGGAUAUUUG
rnacentral:rRNA from 1 species